AUGUUUGAUUGCUUUCUAACCAAUUUAUUUUUUCAUCUUUUGUUUUAUGAACACAACAAUGGUGAAAGCAUGAAGAAUGAAGAUGUAAAGUUGACCAAUAUGAGCAUGGAGAAGAUGCUUGAAGAAGAAGAAGUCAAACCCAAGAACUCAUACUUAUGUAACUCUUUAUUUUUCGUUGAAUUUAAAUUGGAAUUUGCCUCAAUGUAA